ACGUUCCUGGAAAUACAUAACAUGCUUAUCGAUGUUGAACUGACAAGCUGAAGAAUUUCAGUGUUUCUGACGUUUUCUAAAAUCCAGAUCUAAGAAUGGGUGCCUUUGUCAUCACUCACAAGUGCUAGAAGACGCAGCAGAUAGUAUCUUGUAGAGCUGUUGACAUAAAAUCUGCAUUGGUCACUUAAAAGAUGACACUGUGAGAAAGAACUGAGUCAAAUCAGCCUUGGGAUCCUUCAGGAUGCCUGGGGAAUUUUGGUGCUUGUUAUUUUGAUCGGCCUAUAAGCAAAAUUAGAACUAGAAAGGGAAUAAAGAUGUUUGCCCACCUUCAUCUCUGUCCAUUGGGUAUGGAAACUGAAGUUACUAGAGAAAAACAUUUUUAAAAAUCGACCUUAUCUUCAUGUAUGAUUUACUGAGGAUUUCUCCGUUCCUCUGGGUAACCAGUUGUUGGCCUCAUGCUUUCUGACUGCCACGAGUAAGUGGGACAGUAGCUCAAAGAACACUGCUAUUCAACUUUAGGUUCACUUUCCUCUGUUUCAUCCUUGUGCUCUUAUGAACAACCUGUAUCACUGCCAGGGUGAGGUAACACACCCCUGUAAUUGUAGCUUCUCUGGAGGCUGAAAGAACAAACUGCAAAUUCAAGUUCAACUUGGGCUGCACAGCAAGUCUGAAGCUAGCCUGAGAAACUUAGUGAGAUUCCGCCCCACAAUGUAUAAAGCAUGUUUGUUUGUUUGUCUGUGUGUUUAAAUAGGAGGACGCUAAAAAUAUACUGCAGCAGCACAGUGCUUGCCAGCACAUGUUCUCGUCUGAGAUCAACAACAAAGAGGAGAGAAGGGAGAGGCUGAGAAGGAAUGCUAUACGAGGCCAAGAGAUUUCCUUUCUGGUGGGCAUUUAGGCCUACCAAAACUGGAAGUCAAAUCUGUAGCUCUGAGUUAUAAACUUUCUAAGUUUACAACUUAAUUGAAAUCCAAGUUAGGGAUGACCUAGAGCCUUGUCCUUGCUUUCUUAUCCUUCCCACUGCGAGCCAUGGCUGAGUCAAGGGCGGAGUAGGAAUCGGCUCAGAGGUGAGUAGUUGGGGAUUGAGUAUCCUUUAAGAACUGGAGGAUUACAGUAGGAAGAAAUCUGCUGGUCAUUGCAAAGGCUGAAUCUGCAGUGAGUAUAUUAUAUAAACAUAUUUGAAUCAAUUUACAAAAGAAAAUAAUUCCCAAACAUGAGUGCUCUCUAAGCAGAGUGGACAUGCUGUGAGAUAGCAAGGGCACUGCUGCAGGAGUGAGUCAGGUGGCUCUGUGGUGCUGGCAGAUCACUGCAUCCAAAGUCCUUUAGGUCUCUAGCUCUAUGUGGUGACUACUGUAACUCACCAGAGCUCCUCGCAGAUCCCUAAGAGGUGAACGGGGCCAGUGGACAGUGCAUUCGAAGUUCUGGGGUUCUGCCAUUUGAUCCUCCUCCUUGCCCAUCUGGAGAUAAAGAAUGAGAUUCUCAAACAUGAAGGGCGCAACCCAUAGGACCAGUGCUGGCUGGAGCAGCCUUCCAAACACACAGUCAACAGAACAACAGCGGCCAUCAGUUUGGGGAUCGUUUCCAUUCUAAGGGACAUCAAGACACAGAGGGAAGAAUACUUUGGAAAGAAGCCAGCACCCGGACCACUGACUCCACAGAAACUGCAGACACACAGCUUGUUCAGAGACAAGGAAAUGGGGGCAUCUGCCUGUCCUAAGCUUUACGGACACUGGGGACAGGCACCUGUACUAGAUUCUGGCAUAUUCAGUACUUUUUUUGUGGUAAUGUAGUCCACUUUUUGUUUAUUUGGGUUACCCAGAACCCAUAAUUCAUCCCUUACCAAAUUGAAACUUUGCCCAUGCAUUACCCAUUAUAAAUUAGUUCUCAACUCUGUCAUUCAUGAAGUUAGAGCUAGGCCAUCUGCUCUGAAAAAAGAAUUACCUACUGGGUAUCUCUGGCUAAUAAAAGGUUGCAUGUAUUUGCUA